rnacentral:rRNA from 1 species
AUACGUAGGGGGCAAGCGUUAUCCGGAAUUAUUGGGCGUAAAGAGUGCGUAGGUGGUUAUGUAAGCGUGAGGUUUAAGGCAGUGGCUUAACCACUGUUCGCCUUGCGAACUGCAUAACUUGAGUGCAGGAGGGGAAAGCGGAAUUCCUAGUGUAGCGGGAAAAUGCGCAGAUAUCUGGAAGAACACCGGUGGCGAAGGCGGACGACUGGCCAUGUACUGACGCUGAGGCGCGAAGGUGCGGGGAGCGAACAGGUUUAGAUACCCUGGUAGUCCGCACAGUAAACGAUGUGCACCAGGUGGCGGGGGGUAGCCCCCGGUACCGAAGCUAACGCAUUAAGUGCACCGCCUGGGGAGUAUGCUCGCAAGGGUGAAACUCAAAUGAAUUGACGGGG